GGGAUUAGGCAAUUAUUUCGCUGCGGCAACUGACUGGUUUACUGGAGGCAAUUACAGGUUGAGAAGAGUUCUUUUGGCGGAGAAGGCUUUCCUGUCCGUCCGUAUUAAGGUCCGUUCGGGUAAACCAGGGAAACUACCUUUAUUACCGGAAACCUAGGACUCAAACACCGAAAACUACUAUAAUUCUAGGCCAGAGCUCUACCCUAAUGUUCGCGCACGCGUGGUUGAAAUGAGGAUUUCACGCGGGAUGGCGGCGGUCAAGCAAUACGAGAAAAGGAAUAUUGUACGUCCGUCUUGUCGUCCAGGUAAAAACUAUCACUUAGUCGGAAAACCAAAAACUGAUACCAGAGCACCCCAGGCGUGGUGGUGCUGAAAAGCAGCUUCUCCCUCGUUGGAUGGAGUCGUGUUGCAGUGGCUUGCAGGUUUGUUUAUUUUUCU